AUUGAACGCUGGCGGCAGGCCUAACACAUGCAAGUCGAACGCGGCGCGGACGGGUGUGUAAUGUCUGGGACUCCGCCUGAUGGAGGGGGAACACUACUGAACACGGUAUCUAACACCGUAUACCAUCAUAUGCCCCCAGAUGGGAUUAGCUUGUUGGGGGGGUAACGGCUCACCAAGGCGACGAUCCCUAGCUGGUCUGAGAGGAUGACCAGCCACACUGGAACUGAGACACGGUCAAGACUCCUACGGGAGGCAGCAGUGGGGAAUAUUGCACAAUGGGCGCAAGCCUGAUGCAGCCAUGCCGCGUGUAUGAAGAAGGCCUUCGGGUUGUAAAGUACUUUCAGCGGGGAGGCGUUACCCGCAGAAGAAGCACCGGCUAACUCCGUGCCAGCAGCCGCGGUAAUAC
rnacentral:rRNA from 1 species